UAAUUGAAGAGUUUGAUCAUGGCUCAGAUUGAACGCUGGCGGCAGGCUUAACACAUGCAAGUCGAGCGGUAGCACAGGGGAGCUUGCUCCCUGGGUGACGAGCGGCGGACGGGUGAGUAAUGUCUGGGAAACUGCCUGAUGGAGGGGGAUAACUACUGGAAACGGUAGCUAAUACCGCAUAACGUCGCAAGACCAAAGAGGGGG
rnacentral:rRNA from 1 species